rnacentral:rRNA from 1 species
GCUCAGUAACACGUGGAGAACGUGCCCUUAAGCGGAGGAUAAUCUCGGGAAAUUGAGGAUAAUACCCCAUAGGUCAUGGGAUCUGGAACGACCCAUGGCCGAAAGCUCAGGCGCUUAAGGAUCGCUCUGCGGCUUAUCAGGUCGUAGUGGGUGUAACGUACCCCCUAGCCGACGACGAGUAUGGGCCUUGAGAGAGGGAGCCCAGAGUUGGAUUCUGAGACACGAAUCCAGGCCCUACGGGGCGCAGCAGUCGCGAAAACUUCACACUGGGGGCAACCCCGAUGAGGGAAUUCCUAGUGCCAGGGCUUUUUGUCCUGGCUUUUCUCCAGCGUAGAUUACUGGAGGAAUAAGGGCUGGGUAAGACGGGUGCCAGCCGCCGCGGUAAUACCUGCAGCCCGAGUGGUGGUCGAUUUUAUUGAGUCUAAAACGUUCGUAGCCGGUCCGGUAAAUCCCUGGGUAAAUCGGGAAGCUCAACUUCCCGAAUUCCGGGGGGACUGCCGGACUUGGGACCGGGAGAGGCUAGAGGUACUUCUGGGGUAGGGGUAAAAUCCUGUAAUCCUGGAAGGACCACCGGUGGCGAAGGCGUCUAGCUAGAACGGAUCCGACGGUGAGGGACGAAGCCCUGGGUCGCAAACGGGAUUAGAUACCCCGGUAGUCCAGGGUGUAAACGCUGCAGACUUGGUGUUGGGGGCCCUUCGGGGGCGUCCAGUGCCGGAGAGAAGUUGUUAAGUCUGCUACUUGGGGAGUACGUCCGCAAGGAUGAAACUUAAAGGAAUUGGCGGGGGAGCAC